rnacentral:rRNA from 1 species
CCUACGGGUGGCAGCAGUGGGGAAUUGUUCGCAAUGGGCGCAAGCCUGACGACGCAACGCCGCGUGGAGGAUGAAGAUCUUCGGGUCGUAAACUCCUUUCGAUCGAGACGAAUUCCUCCGGGGUGAACAAUCCCGGAGGUUGACGGUACCGAGAGAAGAAGCCCCGGCUAACUCCGUGCCAGCAGCCGCGGUAAUACGGGGGGGGCAAGCGUUGUUCGGAAUUACUGGGCGUAAAGGGCUCGUAGGUGGCCAACUAAGUCAGACGUGAAAUCCCUCGGCUUAACCGGGGAACUGCGUCUGAUACUGGUUGGCUUGAGUUUGGGAGAGGGAUGCGGAAUUCCAGGUGUAGCGGUGAAAUGCGUAGAUAUCUGGAGGAACACCGGUGGCGAAGGCGGCAUCCUGGACCAAUACUGACGCUGAGGAGCGAAAGCCAGGGGAGC